AUCCAGCUGACGAGUCGAAAAUGGGACGAAACACGCGUCCUGGAC
rnacentral:hammerhead_ribozyme from 1 species